rnacentral:rRNA from 1 species
UGGGGAAUAUUGGACAAUGGGGGGAACCCUGAUCCAGCAAUGCCGCGUGUGUGAAGAAGGCCUGAGGGUUGUAAAGCACUUUUAGUGUAGAGGAAGGUUAUUUUGUUAAGAGCUGAAUGAUUUGACGGUAUACACAGAAACAGCACCGGCUAACUCCGUGCCAGCAGCCGCGGUAAUACGGAGGGUGCGAGCGUUAAUCGGAAUUACUGGGCGUAAAGGGUGCGUAGGUUGUUUGAUAAGUUAGUUGAGAAAUACCUGGGCUUAACCUAGGUGCUAUGAUUAAGACUGUUAAACUAGAGUAUGAGAGAGGGUAGUGGAAUUUCCGGUGUAGCGGUGAAAUGCGUAGAGAUCGGAAGGAACACCAGUGGCGAAGGCGGCUACCUGGCUUAAUACUGACACUGAGGCACGAAAGCGUGGGUAGCAAACAGG